GCAGCCGCCACGGUAAUACAGAGGGUGCGAGCGUUAAUCGGAUUUACUGGGCGUAAAGCGUGCGUAGGCGGCUUUUUAAGUCGGAUGUGAAAUCCCUGAGCUUAACUUAGGAAUUGCAUUCGAUACUGGGAAGCUAGAGUAUGGGAGAGGAUGGUAGAAUUCCAGGUGUAGCGGUGAAAUGCGUAGAGAUCUGGAGGAAUACCGAUGGCGAAGGCAGCCAUCUGGCCUAAUACUGACGCUGAGGUACGAAAGCAUGGGGAGCAAACAGGAUUAGAUACCCCUGUAGUCCCUGUCUCUUAUAC
rnacentral:rRNA from 1 species